GUACCAGACUCCUACGGGAGGCAGCAGUGGGGAAUAUUGGGCAAUGGGCGCAAGCCUGACCCAGCAACGCCGCGUGAAGGAAGAAGGCUUUCGGGUUGUAAACUUCUUUUAAGAGGGAAGAGAAGAAGACGGUACCUCUUGAAUAAGCCACGGCUAACUACGUGCCAGCAGCCGCGGUAAUACGUAGGUGGCAAGCGUUGUCCGGAUUUACUGGGUGUAAAGGGCGUGCAGCCGGGCUGACAAGUCAGAUGUGAAAUCCCGCGGCUCAACCGCGGAACUGCAUUUGAAACUGUGUUUCUUGAGUACUGGAGAGGCAGACGGAAUUCCUAGUGUAGCGGUGAAAUGCGUAGAUAUUAGGAGGAACACCAGUGGCGAAGGCGGCUUGCUGGGCUUUUACUGACGCUGAGGCUCGAAAGUGUGGGGAGCAAACAGGAUUAGAUACCCGCGUAUG
rnacentral:rRNA from 1 species